AAUUCUGGCAGGAGUGGCAGCUAGCCUGAACUUGGUACAAACGAUUUUAAUAUUCUUUUUCUCUGGACCGAGCCAUGAAUUAAAGAAGAUUUCCUGCUGGGUACUCAAAGUGGUUGCAUUCAUAAACUUUUGUUUUACAAUUGCUGCAGUAUAUGUUGGUCUUGGGGAGCAUUGCACCAAAACCCCUUGCAUCUGGCCCUCCAUAUUGAUGGGAAUUUAUUUAGUAUGCCAACUGCUGUCAUGUCCAUUUUUUUUGUAUGUGGAACUAAACCAAAA